rnacentral:rRNA from 1 species
CGCUAGCCGCUGAAUUGAUCCUUCGGGUGAAGUGAGGCAAUGACUAGAGUGGCGAACUGGUGAGUAACACGUAAGAAACCUGCCCUUUAGUGGGGGAUAACAUUUGGAAACAGAUGCUAAUACCGCGUAACAACAAAUCACACAUGUGAUCUGUUUGAAAGGUCCUUUUGGAUCGCUAGAGGAUGGUCUUGCGGCGUAUUAGCUUGUUGGUAGGGUAGAAGCCUACCAAGGCAAUGAUGCGUAGCCGAGUUGAGAGACUGGCCGGCCACAUUGGGACUGAGACACUGCCCAAACUCCUACGGGAGGCUGCAGUAGGGAAUUUUCCGCAAUGCACGAAAGUGUGACGGAGCGACGCCGCGUGUGUGAUGAAGGCUUUCGGGUCGUAAAGCACUGUUGUAAGGGAAGAAUAACUGAAUUCAGAGAAAGUUUUCAGCUUGACGGUACCUUACCAGAAAGGGAUGGCUAAAUACGUGCCAGCAGCCGCGGUAAUACGUAUGUCCCGAGCGUUAUCCGGAUUUAUUGGGCGUAAAGCGAGCGCAGACGGUUUAUUAAGUCUGAUGUGAAAUCCCGAGGCCCAACCUCGGAACUGCAUUGGAAACUGAUUUACUUGAGUGCGAUAGAGGCAAGUGGAACUCCAUGUGUAGCGGUGAAAUGCGUAGAUAUGUGGAAGAACACCAGUGGCGAAAGCGGCUUGCUAGAUCGUAACUGACGUUGAGGCUCGAAAGUAUGGGUAGCAAACGGGAUUAGAUACCCCGGUAGUCCAUACCGUAAACGAUGGGUGCUAGUUGUUAAGAGGUUUCCGCCUCCUAGUGACGUAGCAAACGCAUUAAGCACCCCGCCUGAGGAGUACGGCCGCAAGGCUAAAACUUAAAGGAAUUGACGGGGACCCGCACAAGCGGUGGAGCAUGUGGUUUAAUUCGAAGAUACGCGAAAAACCUUACCAGGUCUUGACAUACCAAUGAUCGCUUUUGUAAUGAAAGCUUUUCUUCGGAACAUUGGAU